rnacentral:rRNA from 1 species
UACGUAGGGUGCAAGCGUUAAUCGGAAUUACUGGGCGUAAAGCGUGCGCAGGCGGCUUUGCAAGACAGAUGUGAAAUCCCCGGGCUUAACCUGGGAACUGCAUUUGUGACUGCAAGGCUGGAGUGCGGCAGAGGGGGAUGGAAUUCCGCGUGUAGCAGUGAAAUGCGUAGAUAUCUGGAGGAAUACCGGUGGCGAAGGCGGCAUCCUGGGAUGACACUGACGCUCAUGCUCGAAAGCGUGGGGAGCAAACAGG